rnacentral:misc_RNA from 1 species
AACGCACCUUGCACCCUUUGGUAUUCCGAAGGGUAUGCUCGUUUGAGUGUCAUUGUACUCUCACACUCUCUGAUCCUUUGGAUUCAGGGAGUGGUGGACUUGGGUGUUUGCUGCUUUCCGGUGGCUCACCUCAAAUGCGUUAGUGCACCUCUUGGUUGGACAUAGUACGGCGUGAUAAGUAUCUUCGCCGGCACCUCGCAAGAGGGUGGCCGAUUGGGAGCUCUGUGCUUUCAAACCGUCUUCGGACAAUCUUGACAACUUGACCUCAAAUCGAGUAGGACUACCCGCUGAACUUAA